rnacentral:rRNA from 1 species
AAGGCGUCGCGCGGUGAGAUGAGCCCAUGUCGGAUUAGCUAGUUGGCGGGGUAAAGGCCCACCAAGGCGACGAUCCGUAGCUGGUCUGAGAGGAUGAUCAGCCACACUGGAACUGAGACACGGUCCAGACUCCUACGGGAGGCAGCAGUGGGGAAUAUUGGACAAUGGGCGCAAGCCUGAUCCAGCCAUGCCGCGUGGGUGAAGAAGGCCUUCGGGUUGUAAAGCCCUUUUGUCCGGAAAGAAAUCCUGUCGGUUAAUACCCGGCGGGGAUGACGGUACCGGAAGAAUAAGCACCGGCUAACUUCGUGCCAGCAGCCGCGGUAAUACGAAGGGUGCAAGCGUUACUCGGAAUUACUGGGCGUAAAGCGUGCGUAGGCGGUUCGUUAAGUCCGAUGUGAAAGCCCUGGGCUCAACCUGGGAACUGCAUUGGAUACUGGCGAGCUAGAGUGCGGUAGAGGAUGGUGGAAUUCCCGGUGUAGCGGUGAAAUGCGUAGAGAUCGGGAGGAACACCAGUGGCGAAGGCGGCCA